rnacentral:rRNA from 1 species
AACGCGGAGCAGCCCAAACCGCAUCCUACGGGGUGCGGGGUAGUAGGACCUGCGUAAUUUUUGUAAUCUUAAAUCGAAGCUGUCUGGAAAGCAGCGCCACAGAAGGUGAAAGCCCUGUAGGUGUACCGAUUACAAGAAGGCGGGUAUCCUGAGUAGCGCGAGACCGGUGAAAUCUUGCGUGAACCAGCCGGCACCAUCCGGUAAGGCUAAAUACAUCUGCAUGACCGAUAGUGAACCAGUACCGUGAGGGAAAGGUGAAAAGAACCGUGAACAACGGAGUGAAACAGACCCUGAAACCAUACGCCUACAAGCGGUCGGAGUCCCGAUUUAUCGGGAUGACGGCGUGCCUUUUGCAUAAUGAGCCUACGAGUUACUUUUACCGGCAAGGUUAAGCACUUAUGGUGCGCAGCCGUAGCGAAAGCGAGUCUGAACAGGGCGUCUUAGUCGGUAGUAGUAGACGCGAAACCGUGCGAUCUACCCAUGGGCAGGUUGAAGCUGUGGUAACACAUAGUGGAGGACCGAACCCGUUGACGUUGAAAAGUCUUGGGAUGACCUGUGGGUAGGGGUGAAAGGCCAAUCAAGCUCGGAAAUAGCUCGUACUCCCCGAAAUGCAUUUAGGUGCAGCGUUCUGAUAGUUAUAUAGAGGUAGAGCUACUGAUUGGAUGCGGGGGCUUCACCGCCUACCAAUUCCUGACAAACUCCGAAUGCUAUAUAAUGUUU